rnacentral:rRNA from 1 species
UAGUCCACGCCCUAAACGAUGUUUACUCGACGUGCGGUCCUCGGACUGUGCGUCCAAGCGAAAGCGCUAAGUAAACCACCUGGGGAGUACGUUCGCAAGAAUGAAACUCAAAGGAAUUGACGGGGGCCCGCACAAGCGGAGGAGCAUGUGGCUUAAUUCGAUGCAACGCGAAGAACCUUACCAGGGUUUGACAUGGUCGUCCUUCGGGGCCGGACCUGUGAAAGCAGGUCUAAGACACACAGGUGCUGCAUGGCUGUCGUCAGUUCGUGCCGUGAGGUGUUGGGUUAAGUCCCGCAACGAACGCAACCCCUAUGUUUAGUUGCCAUCAGGUAAUGCUGGGAACUCUAGACAGACUGCCUGUAUCAAGCAGGAGGAAGGUGGGGAUGACGUCAAGUCAGUAUGGCCCUUACACCCUGGGCUGCACACGUGCUACAAUGGUCGGUACAAAAGGAAGCAACACCGCGAGGUUGAGCUAAUCCCCAAAGCCGGCCCCAGUUCGGAUUGGAGUCUGCAACUCGA